CGCUCGAAUGAGAACAAAAGAGUCGACACUGAAGCGUGUGGAUGAAAAGGGGGAGAACGCCAUCCGUUUCAGCGGGCAGUCUGAGGCCUGACGCCUUUCUCCAUGCUGUUGCACUUUUCCUUGCCUGGUCAGGUUUUUUUUGUGAGUUGGAAAACACCCUGUUCCGGUACAAGACUUUGGAGGAAGAUCUUGGAGCCAACAGAGAGUGAUUCUAGAGACCUGAGAAGGUUUCAGAGAAAUCCAGAGAGAUGUUUCCAGUGCUGGAUGGCGAGCCUAGCCCAGAGCGACUUCAAUCUCCCUGCUUGCAGUAAGGAGACUGCAGCUUAAGGAAGAGUCAGAUAUCCCAUCCCUUCCUCGAGUUUGGUAGGAUUUGAACAAUACACCUACAUACUGGUUCCACGACAGCUGGUACCUGGAUCCGUGUACUAUUUGGAGAGACAGGUUGAGACCCGGGUAUUAGUUUAUUUUGAUUUUUGUUUUCUUUGUGGCCACAGUUUGUUAUUUUAGUUUAUUGUUUUUACAUGAUUUCAGAAAUUUAAAGCUGUACCUACGGUACAGGAGAAAUGGUAUGGUUUCCACCUGCUUAUUACACAUUUAAAUACUCAUUACAGUCUGUUAUAAUUUA